GCCCUUUGACGAUCACAGAGCAAAGAGUACCAACGAAGGUAUUUUUUCUUCUUUUUUUUUUUCGAUUUCCUACAUCUUUCUUUUUUCUUUUUCUUUUUUUUUGCUUUUUUUUUUGUAGGUCAAGAAAAGAAAAGUCGUUGAGUGCUAAGUUGACGGGCAACUCCAUGACUUCCCAUAUAAGAAUAAUUCAUCAUGAUAUAUAGAUGAUUAGAUCUGCAACAACAUAUAGAAGGUCAAAUCCCUUGCAACAUAUAGACGAGCAAAUUCACAUCAACAUAUAGGCAGAUAAAUCCACACCAACAUAUAGACGGACAAAUCUCCAUCACCAUAUAGACGGACAAAUCCAUAUCAAUAUAUAGACGGACAAAUCCACAUCAACAUAUAAACGGACAAAUCCACAUCAACAUAUAAACGGACAAAUCCACAUCAACAUAUAGACGGACAAAUCCCCAUCACCAUAUAGACGGAUAAAUUCACAUCAACAUAUAGAUGGACGAAUUCUCAUCACCAUACAGACGGACAAAUCCAUAUCAACAUAUAGACGGAUAAAUCCAUACCAACAUAUAGAAGUAUCAAAUCCAUGAAGAGGCCGACUUAAGGUGCAAAGGGAUUUAAACGUCCACCUUAAGAUUGGAAAAUUAUAGUUCCUUUCAAGGACAAACCCACUAAGAGGCCAACUUAAGGUGUAAAUGGACUUAUAUGUCCACCUUAAGAUUGGAAAGUUAUAGUUCUUUUUAAGGACAAACCCACAAAUAGGCCAACUUAAGGUGCAAAGGGACUUAUAUGUCCACCUUAAGAUAGGAAAAUUAUAAAGCUUCAACUCGAAGACUUCAUGGACUUGAUGACGUCGACUUGAAUACUUGGAAAACUUUGAAGAUUCGGCGGACUUUGCAGACCUCAAUUUGAAGACCGACAAACUUGAAGAUUCGGCGGACUUAAUCUGAAAAAUUUGAGGGCUCAAAUACUUCCACUUAAACACCGACGCUUUUUGAGGACCUCAACUUGAACACUUCAACUUGGAGACCUAGAGGGUUUAGAUACCUCAACUUGAAGGGUGGCGAACAAGAAGACUUCAACUUGAAGACCGACGGACUUGAGGAUUUCAACUUGGAGACUUCGAGGGCUUAAACAACUCAACUUGAAUUCUGGUGAACUGAAGGACUUCAACUUAAAGGACGGUGAACUUGGAGGGCUUGAAUACUUCAACUUAAAGCUGGCGGAUUUGCAGACUUCAACUUGAAGACCAAAAAUUUGAAGGCUUGGUGAACUUGAAGGCAUAACGAAUCACCAGGCUUCAUUGCACAUGCUUGAUAUCCUCCUAAAAGACUAUAAUCAUUCCAUUGAAGACACCAAUUUAUCAUGGAAGCUUUCCUCUUUUAAAUCAAAUGUGAUCAAAGUUCAACAGAAGGAUGGUGUUUCAGCUUGAUUUUACAUUCCUCCAUACUUCACUCGGAAAACAAUUGGGGUAAUAUGUAUCUUUUGAACUUAUGCGACUGAACUUAGAAUGAAACUCUAAACUGCCUACGUACCUCGGUGAAGAGAAUCAAGUCAUAUCGUAGUUCAGACUGGGUAAUUUAAUUUUUUUUAUUUUUUUUAUGUCCUAACUUUUGUCUAGGCCGCCUCUUUCGAAGUUUUCAACCUAGCGGACUCUUUUUUUUGGGGCCGUACACAGUUUAAACUCAUGCGGGCCAAGAGUGUAGCAAUAUGCAGUUUAGGCUCGUGCGUCAAGGAGCGUUGCAACUUCAAGGAUAAUACUUCUUUAAAAACUUGCCAUUGAUAGGGCCGAUUCUCAUGCCAUCUGCAUCAACCAACUUGUAAGCCCCACUUGAGUAAGCUUCUUGUACGACGUAUGGACUAUCCCAUUUUGAAGUGAACUUCCCUACAGGUUUAUGGGAAGUAAUUAUGGGUCUUCGUACGACAAGGACUUGAUCUCCUACUUGAAAGGAUCUAGG
rnacentral:lncRNA from 1 species